CCAGGGCACUUGUAUAUCAACAGCGGAGGGGGAGAGGGAAAGCAGCCACCACAAGGCUGCCAAGCACCUUCAGUAGCACCGUACAUCAUGUGGGUACUUGUGGGACAUCAGCAAGCUGGGACACAGCAAGCCCAGAUGCUACGGAGCAUUUACCUGGAGCUCCUGGAGUGUGUGACCCAGCAAGGGCCAGGCCCACAGUGGUGCUCCCAGAGUGCUAGCUGAGCCAUCUUGGAUUCUGCCAUUCCCCUAUCUCCAACAAGAACCUCACAGUGAACCACACCAAGCUGGGUGAGUUCACUGUUUGCCUGAGGAAGCUCAGAGAGUGUUUUCUCCAUUCUCCCAAAAGGAAGGUUCUAAUCGCAUUACCCCAGCUAAUCUACUAGACUCGGAAUCCUGAGAGCACAGGCUGGUCCACCUUCAUUCCAUCUUCAGAAAGAGCCUUACAAGACUUACAACACCAGCUCCAAACACCAUGUUCUAACCCUUUGCAUUAUACCAUGUCAUCCCUCUGGCCUAAUGCCCUUGGAAGGAAUUAUAAUAAACCCUUAGCCCCC
rnacentral:lncRNA from 1 species